rnacentral:rRNA from 1 species
UACGAAGGGGGCUAGCGUUGCUCGGAAUCACUGGGCGUAAAGGGUGCGUAGGCGGGUCUUUAAGUCAGGGGUGAAAUCCUGGAGCUCAACUCCAGAACUGCCUUUGAUACUGAAGAUCUUGAGUUCGGGAGAGGUGAGUGGAACUGCGAGUGUAGAGGUGAAAUUCGUAGAUAUUGGGAAGAACACCGGUGGCGAAGGCGGCCAUCUGGCCCGCAAUUGACGCUGAGGCGCGAAAGCGUGGGGAGCAAACAGG